GCCGAAGUGGCGGAAUUGGCAGACGCGCUAGGUUCAGGGUCUAGUGAGGGCAGCCUCGUAGGGGUUCAAGUCCCCUCUUCGGCA
rnacentral:tRNA from 1 species